UGCCAGACUCCUACGGGAGGCAGCAGUGGGGAAUAUUGCACAAUGGGCGCAAGCCUGAUGCAGCCAUGCCGCGUGUAUGAAGAAGGCCUUCGGGUUGUAAAGUACUUUCAGCGGGGAGGAAGGCGCUAAGGUUAAUAACCUUGUCGAUUGACGUUACCCGCAGAAGAAGCACCGGCUAACUCCGUGCCAGCAGCCGCGGUAAUACGGAGGGUGCAAGCGUUAAUCGGGAUUACUGGGGGUAAAGCGCACGCAGGCGGGCUGUCAGGUCGGAUGUGAAAUCCCCGGGCUCAACCUGGGAACUGCAUUCGAAACUGGGAGGGUGGAGUCGUGUAGAGGGGGGGAGAAUUGCAGGUGUAGGGGUGAAAUGCGUA
rnacentral:rRNA from 1 species